CCUACGGGAGGCAGCAGUGGGGAAUAUUGCACAAUGGGGGAACCCCUGAUGCAGCGACGCCGCUUGAGUGAAGAAGUAUUUCGGUCUGUAAAGCUCUAUCCUCAGGGACGAAAAUGACGGUACCUGAUUAAGAAGCCCCGGCUAACUACGUGCCAGCAGCCGCGGGAAUACGUAGGGGGCAAGCGUUAUCCGGAUUUACUGGGUGUACAGGGAGCGUAGACGGCAGCACAAGUCUGGAGGGAAAUGCCGGGGCUUAACCCCGGAACUGCUUUGGAAACUGUGCAGCUAGAGUGCAGGAGAGGUAAGUGGAAGUCCUAGUGUAGCGGUGAAAUGCGUAGAUAUUAGGAGGAACACCAGUGGCGAAGGCGGCUUACUGGACUGUAACUGACGUUGAGGCUCGAAAGCGUGGGGAGCAAACAGGAUUAGAUACCCCAGUAGUC
rnacentral:rRNA from 1 species